rnacentral:rRNA from 1 species
CCUACGGGAGGCAGCAGUGAGGAAUAUUGGUCAAUGGACGAGAGUCUGAACCAGCCAAGUAGCGUGAAGGAUGACUGCCCUAUGGGUUGUAAACUUCUUUUAUAUGGGAAUAAAAUGUUCCACGUGUGGGAUUUUGUAUGUACCAUAUGAAUAAGGAUCGGCUAACUCCGUGCCAGCAGCCGCGGUAAUACGGAGGAUCCGAGCGUUAUCCGGAUUUAUUGGGUUUAAAGGGAGCGUAGGUGGAUUGUUAAGUCAGUUGUGAAAGUUUGCGGCUCAACCGUAAAAUUGCAGUUGAAACUGGCAGUCUUGAGUACAGUAGAGGUGGGCGGAAUUCGUGGUGUAGCGGUGAAAUGCUUAGAUAUCACGAAGAACUCCGAUUGCGAAGGCAGUUCACUGGACUGCAACUGACACUGAGGCUCAAAAGUGUGGGUAUCAAACAGGAUUAGAUACCCGUGUAGUC